UACGUAGGUGGCAAGCGUUACUCGGAAUCACUAGGCGUAAAGCGCAGGUAGGCGGUUGGAUAAGUCUGUUGUGAAAGCUCCCGGCUCAACUGGGAGAGGUCAACGGAAACUGUCCGGAUAGAGUAUGGUAGGGGUAACUGGAAUUCCCGGAGUAGCGGUGAAAUGCGUAGAUAUCGGGAGGAAUACCUAUGGCGAAGGCAGGUUACUGGGCCAUUACUGACGCUGAGCUGCGAAAGCUAGGGGAGCAAACAGG
rnacentral:rRNA from 1 species